AACAGAGCGUGUUUGCAUAGACACACCUACUCUGCCUAGACUGUGCAGUGAUGCCCCCCUCACCCCAGGCCUCUGGAGCCUUUGGAGCAGAAAGAUCCCAGGAGCUGAGGAUGAAUCCAGGGAUUGCCAGCUGCUUUUCAACUGCAAUGUGGAGACUGUUUGUGUUUGGGGAGAAACAGUGUGUGUGUUGGGGAACAGUGAAUGUGUUGAGGUAGGUAGGAACAGAUCAUUAUUAUCCCUACUUGAAAGAAAGAGAAGCUAAGGCUGAGAAAGGAGAAUUGACUUGUCUUAGGUCACACAGCCAGUCAGUGGCAAAGUUGGGAAUAGGACCCAAGAGCCCUGAUUUUCAAACUAACCAUUGGAUCUUGAAUUUCAGACAUUGAAUGACCUGAAUAACGUGCUCUCAGAUGAGCUCCAGACCAACAACAGUGCACAGUAAUUAUUCAGCAAUAUUUUAGGAGAACUGGAAUGCUGGAGAGAAUCAUGAACUGCUCAGAGACAAUUAAUGCAGAGAAGCAGCAAAAUUCAUCAAACAUAGAACUGAUUAUGACUUAUUUCCUUGGUCUUAAAAGAGAACAACAAGGACCUGAGUCUCCUCCCUGUCAAUAACCCCCUGCUCAGCCAAUCAGGGUAGA